rnacentral:rRNA from 1 species
UAUAUCACCAAAACUGCCCUGAACAUGCUGAAUUUCAUCAGAUCUCAGAAGCUAAGCAGGGCCAGGCCUAGUUUGUGCAUGGAUGGAAAAU